rnacentral:rRNA from 1 species
AGAUUGAACGCUGGCGGCAUGCCUAACACAUGCAAGUCGAACGGGAGUAGCAAUACUCUAGUGGCGGACGGGUGAGGAAUACGUAGGAAUUUGCCCUUAAGUGGGGGAUAACCCGGGGAAACCCGGAUUAAUACCGCAUGACCUCGAAAGAGCAAAGUGGGGGAUCGCAAGACCUCACGCUUUUGGAGAAGCCUACGUCGGAUUAGCUAGUUGGUGAGGUAAUGGCUCACCAAGGCGACGAUCCGUAACUGGUCUGAGAGGAUGAUCAGUCACACCGGAACUGAGACAACGGUCCGGACUCCUACGGGAGGCAGCAGUGGGGAAUAGUUGGACAAGUGGGACGCGAAGCCUGAUCCAGCAAUGCCGCGUGUGUGAAGAAGGCCUUCGGGUUGUAAAGCUAACGUUUAAGUUAGGGAACGAAAAAC